GACGAACGCUGGCGGCGUGCUUAACACAUGCAAGUCGAACUGGCCCGCCCCUGUUUUUGGGGGUGGGUUGAGUGGCGAACGGGUGAGUAUCACGUGAGUAACCUGCCCCCUGCUCCUGGAUAACUGCUUGAAAGGGCGGCUAAUACGGGGUGUGCCGGCUGGUCCGCAUGGGCCUGGUCGGGAUAGUUUCAUCUUCGGGUGUUUCGGUGGGGGAUGGGCUCGCGGCCUAUCAGCUUGUUGGUGGGGUGAUGGCCCACCAAGGCGGUGACGGGUAGCCGGCCUGAGAGGGUGGGCGGCCACACUGGGACUGAGACACGGCCCAGACUCCUGCGGGAGGCAGCAGUGGGGGGUAUUGCACAAUGGGCGGAAGCCUGAUGCAGCGACGUCGCGUGAGGGAUGGAGGCCUUCGGGUGGUGAACCUCUUUCUCCGGUGGUGAAGGCCCUGUCCGUUGCGGCGGGGUUGACGGUAGCCGGGUAUGAAGCGCCGGCUAACUACGUG
rnacentral:rRNA from 1 species